UACGUAGGGUGCGAGCGUUGUCCGGAAUUAUUGGGCGUAAAGAGCUCGUAGGCGGUGUGUCACGUCGGCCGUGAAAACCUGGGGCUUAACUCUGGGCGUGCGGUCGAUACGGGCAUCACUAGAGUUCAGCAGGGGAGACUGGAAUUCCUGGUGUAGCGGUGAAAUGCGCAGAUAUCAGGAGGAACACCGGUGGCGAAGGCGGGUCUCUGGGCCGAUACUGACGCUGAGGAGCGAAAGCAUGGGUAGCGAACAGG
rnacentral:rRNA from 1 species